AUUGAACGCUGGCGGCAGGCCUAACACAUGCAAGUCGAACGAGUGGCGGACGGGUGAGUAAUGUCUGGGAAACUGCCUGAUGGAGGGGGAUAACUACUGGAAACGGUAGCUAAUACCGCAUACCAUCGGAUGUGCCCAGAUGGGAUUAGCUAGUAGGUGGGGUAACGGCUCCCCUAGGCGACGAUCGCUAGCUGGUCUGAGAGGAUGACCAGCCACACUGGAACUGAUACAAGGUCGAGACUCCUACGGGUGGCAGCAGUGGGAAAUAUUGCACAAUGGGCGCAAGCCUGAUGCAUCCCUGCCGCGUGUAUGAAGAAGGCCUUCAGGUUGUACAGUUCUUUCAGCGGUGAGGGGUUACCCGCAGAAGAAGCACCGGCUAACUCCGUGCCAGCCGCCGCGGUAAUAC
rnacentral:rRNA from 1 species